AUUAAAUAAACAAAAUGCUGCGUUUUAUUAAAUUAUUACAGACGGAAAAAUCCGUCUGUAAUUUAAAAUUUUCUGUCGAAAACAUUGAGCUAACCCUAACUUACACCCUAGUCUCUCGAGCUCCAUUCACCCUCCACGCUAGUGAAGAGCUUCUUCCUCUCUCCAUCCACGCUCUCUCACCAUCCACGAGCUUCUUACACCGCUGCUGCCGCCGCUUGCGUCGCACAAUCUCAUCACUGACCUCAGCAACGGCCAUUCGCUGGUUAUCCUCAUCCACCGGUUCAGGAAUCACUGCACUCAUCCUUCAGGGAAGAUCUCUGCCUCUGGUGGUCGCGGAGGUAGUCGCGUCGUCAUCGUUCUCACCGCUCUAGGCCCAUCCGCCUCAUUCAUGCACGGUGUCAUCUCCCUCCAACUUUGCGAUGGCGCCGCUGGCUGUCGCCCAGCCAACCACAGCCUUUGUAAACGAGUAAGGUGGCUUUGGCGGUGGACGAUUCAACCCCUCCGCUGCUACUCCGCCGUCCUGGAUGGCAACUUCCUCCUUAGCUCGGCCCGAUCCGUUUCCUCCAAAUGCACCAAAUAUAGAUCCAGCUUUGCUGAAUUGUUGCUGAGUAGUGAAAAUUCUACAUUUGAUUUGGCCUGAAUCUAGAAAAUUGGAGGCUCCUGGAGUCAUUGAUGAUCGUUGAUUUGGCUGUGAUUACUAUUCUAAGGUCGUAUAAUGAGACUGCAUUUUUGGUUAGUCAAAAUUAUCCUGUCACCAUCUUCAAUUAAGCUCUGUCAUAUAAGCUCUGGCCCUGUUAUUGUUUCUAGACUAGUAUGAUUUUCCCUUGAAUUCAUGAAACAGGUUUGGGAAGGAGAAGGAGUCAUAACUUAUGGCCAAAAACUAAUUGGAGCCACUGAUCCGUAGAAAUUUGCACCUGGAACUAUUGUUAAAUAUUGACUCUUAUUUAGGUCACAGACUCAGAUAACUCAUCACAGAGCCUUUAUGAAGCUUGGACUAGUUCUGGCACCUCUCCUUUGAUUGGAAGAUUAGGUGGUGGAGGAUCAGAUUAUAAACCUUUUGUGAAGCAUGUGGGAAUUCCAUCAAUUGAUAUAGCCUUUGGAGGAGGUA